GCUAGAGGCUACCUGGGGGACCUUUGUCAUUCCGCACAGCGCUAGCAAGCAAAGAGCUUCAGGGAAUAUCGGAUUUCGUGAGCGAAAUGGCUUCUCUGAAGAUGGUGAUAGUCGGUCUGGUGGUGUGCAGUGUCACGUCCAGAGGCUUCUCCGAUUGGCCAAUCCCCCCGGCAACUGCAGCCAAUGGGAUCGUCGCUGGCGAGGAGGUGACGGAGGUGAAUAAUGAGGAGGGGAAGGAGGUGAAGGAG